rnacentral:lncRNA from 1 species
UAGUACUGACUAAAUUAGUCGGGCGUUUGGUGCAGUAUCGGACUAAUGAUCGUAUUAUUUAUACUGUGUUUGGUACUGAACCGGAUAAGAAAAGGGAAGAAAAAAAAUCAAAAGGUACAACAACCAAGUUAUCUCAUAGCAACUUUCCAAUUGAGCAAAAGAGAAGAACAUGUUAAUCCUCUAGAACUCUGAUGACACCAGUGCAAAGAGACAACAAAAACCUCACCCAUUGUGAAGGCUCUUCUACCCCACCCCCCUUAAAAUGUCAAAAAUCCUCAUGUUCCUCUCCACCCGUAAACCCCACAAAACAGCCAUCCUGCAGCAGCCCCUCAGCAGUCUAGCCUUAUUACCUCUACCAAAAGCAUCCAGACUUUUACUAAUCAGUGAUUGGAACCCUUCUAAAAUUUACCCAACUCAUUACAGCCUGUCCAAAUAAUAAGAAUCACAAAUUUAAAGCUCCUAGAAAGUGCACAACAAAUGAUCUCCAUCAUCUCCUUUCCUUUCACACCUGAUACACCAAAUAGGAGAAGACGGCAACUAGGUCUCCUUUUCCGAUGCAAAUCAGAAAUGUUCACCCUCAAUAAGCCAACUCAAAUCAAUAACUUUUUAGCUGCACACCAGAGUCUUCCUCCAUAUGCAAAAGUUGAAGAACAUGACCAGAAAUCUUGAAUUCGAGCACCAUAAUUGAAAAUCCAGAAGCAAAAAGAUGGAGAAGAUGAAAACCCAGAAGCAAAAAAUUGAAAACCUGGGUUUCGUCUGCCUAGCUACCUUUUCUUCCUUCUUGGGCUCCUCCGUCGCCAGAGCCUCUGCUGGCAGUUGGGAAGGAGGGAGAGACAGAGCAGCAAUACCUUGGUGGAGAGAGUUCGCGUUGGGCAGGAGCAGAGAGGGUCGGAGAGAUGGAGCGCGAACCCGACUAAUUAUACCAACCUAUUGGAGAUGAUAGCUAAGCGGGUGCGGAGUGUAUUAAAAUGGUGGGCCCGGAUUAUUUAAUCCGGUGCCUAUUUAAUCCAAAUAGCCACCAAACACCGUACACCGUAUUAUUAGUACUAUCCGGUGCCUUAUACGGUGUGCCAAACAGGGCCUA